AUAUUGGGACAUAUAAAAAAAGACAACUCUGUUCUACAGAGUAGCUGUUGACAUUAUAGUUGCGCAGGAAAUUUGUUGACUCUAGAGAACCUCGGGCAAAUCGUACAUCCCCGUGGCGGCGACUUUGCAUGCGGAUGUCAUCCAUAUCAACUUUCGAUGCCAGUUUCUGCGCCUACCAUGGUGACCACAGGUAACUGGGAAUCAGGGUUCCAUUCCGUACAGGGACCCUGAGAAACGGCUACCACAUGCAAGGAAGGCAGCAGGCGCUCAAAUUACCCACUCCUGACGCGGGAAGGUAGU